rnacentral:rRNA from 1 species
ACCUGUUAUCUGACAAGGUAAGCAGGGCAGCUACGCCUUAUAGGAUAAGUGCUGAAAGCAUCUAAGCACGAAGCCUUCCUUGAAAAGAGACAUCAUAGAACUCUCGCAAAACACGAGUUUAAUGGGACAGGAGUGUAAGUACGAAGGCAACGACGUAUUCAGCUCGCUGUUUCCAACAGUUCAAUCUUUUAGUCUA